UAAGGAAUAUUGGUCAAUGGACGAAAGUCUGAACCAGCCAUGCCGCGUGGAGGAUGAAGGUCCUCUGGAUUGUAAACUUCUUUUAUAUGGGGCGAAAAAAGGCUUUUCUAAGUCGUCUGACGGUACCAUAUGAAUAAGCACCGGCUAACUCCGUGCCAGCAGCCGCGGUAAUACGGAGGGUGCAAGCGUUAUCCGGAUUCACUGGGUUUAAAGGGAGCGUAGGUGGGCUGGUAAGUCAGUGGUGAAAUCUCCGAGCUUAACUCGGAAAUUGCCGUUGAUACUAUUAGUCUUGAAUAUUGUGGAGGUUAGCGGAAUAUGUCAUGUAGCGGUGAAAUGCUUAGAUAUGACAUGGAACACCAAUUGCGAAGGCAGCUGGCUACGCAUAUAUUGACACUGAGGCUCGAAAGCGUGGGGAUCAAACAGG
rnacentral:rRNA from 1 species